GACGAACGCUGGCGGCGUGCUUAACACAUGCAAGUCGAACGGAAAGGCCCUGCUUUUGUGGCGUGCUCGAGUGGCGAACGGGUGAGUAACACGUGAGUAACCUGCCCUUGACUCUGGGAUAACUUCAGGAAACUGGGGCUAAUACCGGAUAGGAGCUCCUGCUGCAUGGUGGGGGUUGGAAAGUUUCGGCGGUUGGGGAUGGACUCGCGGCUUAUCAGCUUGUUGGUGGGGUAGUGGCUUACCAAGGCUUUGACGGGUAGCCGGCCUGAGAGGGUGACCGGCCACAUUGGGACUGAGAUACGGCCCAGACUCCUACGGGAGGCAGCAGUGGGGAAUAUUGCACAAUGGGCGGAAGCCUGAUGCAGCAACGCCGCGUGCGGGAUGACGGCCUUCGGGUUGUAAACCGCUUUCGCCUGUGACGAAGCGUGAGUGACGGUAAUGGGUAAAGAAGCACCGGCUAACUACGUG
rnacentral:rRNA from 1 species